rnacentral:rRNA from 1 species
UACAGAGGGUGCAAGCGUUGUUCGGAAUUAUUGGGCGUAAAGGGCGCGUAGGCGGUGCCACAAGUCACCUGUGAAAUCUCCGGGCUUAACUCGGAGCCUGCAGGCGAAACUGUGGUGCUGGAGUGUGGGAGAGGUGCGUGGAAUUCCUGGUGUAGCGGUGAAAUGCGUAGAUAUCAGGAGGAACACCGGUGGUGUAGACGGCUCUCUGGACCGUAACUGACGCUGAGACACGAAAGCGUGGGUAGCAAACAGG